GCUGAAGUGAAAGAUGAUGUUUUAUUCUACUGCUUUAGUAGGAAGAGCCACAUUAUUGUCUAAUUCGAGUGCAAAAUAUCUCGUACCAUUGAUCAUCUUUCUGGCAAUAGACAUCACAGUCUGCUUCCUAACCAUUUCAUCUCAGGCAUUGUGCUGAUUACCCCUUCAGGACUCUGGAGUUCACCGUUUUGCUGUAAUUUCUUUAACCACCUGCUAACUCACUAAGGGCAUUUGCUUAGUGUUUAAUGUUCAUCUCCCAAAUCAGUCUUUUUAAUUGAAUAGGCUAUUUUUUUCACAUUUCAUAUUCAAGCUUAACUUCCUUUUUAUAAUAUAGGCAGAUGUUAAGAUCACG
rnacentral:lncRNA from 1 species